rnacentral:rRNA from 1 species
GACGUAGGGCGCGAGCGUUGUCCGGAUUUAUUGGGCGUAAAGAGCUCGUAGGCGGCUUGUCGCGUCGACUGUGAAAUCCCGCGGCUCAACUGCGGGUCUGCAGUCGAUACGGGCAGGCUAGAGUUCGGUAGGGGAGACUGGAAUUCCUGGUGUAGCGGUGAAAUGCGUAGAUAUCGAGAGGAACACCUGCGGCGAAGGCGGGUAGCUGGGCCGACACUGACGCUGAGGCGCGAAAGCCAGGGGAGCGAACGGG